rnacentral:rRNA from 1 species
AGAGUUUGAUCCUGGCUCAGAAUCAACGCUGGCGGCGUGCCUAACACAUGCAAGUCGAACGAGAAAGGGGAGCAAUCCCUGAGUAAAGUGGCGACCGGGUGAGUAACACGUGACUAACCUACCUUCGAGUGGGGGAUAACCUCGGGAAACCGGGGCUAAUACCGCAUAAUGCCUUCGGGUUAAAGGAGCAAUUCGCUUGAAGAGGGGGUCGCGGCUGAUUAGCUAGUUGGCGGGGUAACGGCCCACCAAGGCGAUGAUCGGUAGCCGGCCUGAGAGGGCGCACGGCCACACUGGAACUGAAACACGGUCCAGACUCCUACGGGAGGCAGCAGUGGGGAAUUUUGCGCAAUGGGGGAAACCCUGACGCAGCAACGCCGCGUGGAGGAUGAAGUCCCUUGGGACGUAAACUCCUUUCGACCGGGACGAUAAUGACGGUACCGGUGGAAGAAGCCCCGGCUAACUUCGUGCCAGCAGCCGCGGUAAUACGAGGGGGGCGAGCGUUGUUCGGAAUUAUUGGGCGUAAAGGGCGCGUAGGCGGUGCGGUAAGUCACCUGUGAAACCUCUGGGCUUAACUCAGAGCCUGCAGGCGAAACUGCCGUGCUCGAGUGUGGGAGAGGUGCGUGGAAUUCCCCGGUGUAGCGGUGAAAUGCGUAGAUAUCGGGGAGGAACACCUGUUGGCGAAAGCGGCGCACUGGACCACAUCUGACGCUGUAGGCGCGAAA